AGGCGGGUCAAUUCCUUGGGGCCAUUUGGUCACAUGGAAGGUGCUAAGGCAGGGGUCCCCAACCUUGGCCACUUGAAGACUUGUGGACUUCAACUCCCAAGGCGUCUCAUCUUUUCAGCUUGUCCCAAGCGGAGUUUGUGGGUUCAGAAAUUGCCUGACAUCCUCUUCGUCUGCCACAACUG